rnacentral:lncRNA from 1 species
CUCUAAGAAAAAUUAGUUUGUGAAUCUGAACAAAGUCUAGAUCACGUUCAACUCUUUGAUCCUUUCCUUGAUCUUCUUCUUCUCUUCUUCUCUUGCUUUUCUUCCCUAGAUUAUGCAGCAACCAAGGACUAGAAACCAGCAAAAAAUAUGGGAUGCCCACACAUCUUUGGGCAUUGAGGAUGGAGGACGCCCAAGCUUGGGUGUUGGAUCUCCAAGGGAGAAG